GAGUUUGAUCAUGGCUCACGACGAACGCUGGCGGCGUGCUUAACACCUGCAAGUCCAACGAUGAUGCCCAGCUUGCUGGGUGGAUUACUGGCGAACGGGUGAGUAACACGUGAGUAACCUGCCCCUGACUCUGGGAUAAGCGUUGGAAACGACGUCUAAUACUGGAUAUGACAGCCGAUCGCAUGGUCUGGUUGUGGAAAGAUUUUUUGGUUGGGGAUGGACUCCCGGCCUAUCAGCUUGUUGGUGAGGUAAUGGCUCACCAAGGCGACGACGGGUAGCCGGCCUGAGAGGGUGACCGGCCACACUGGGACUGAGACACGGCCCAGACUCCUACGGGAGGCAGCAGUGGGGGAUAUUGCACAAUGGGCGAAAGCCUGAUGCAGCAACUUUUUUUGAGGGACGACGGCCUUCGGGUUGUAAACCUCUUUUAGUAGGGAAGAAGGGGACCUUUGGUUCCUGACGGUACCUGCAGAAAAAGCACCGGCUAACUACGUGCCAGCAGCCGCGGUAA
rnacentral:rRNA from 1 species